rnacentral:rRNA from 1 species
GACGAACGCUGGCGGCGUGCUUAACACAUGCAAGUCGAACGGAAAGGCCCUGCUUUUGUGGGGUGCUCGAGUGGCGAACGGGUGAGUAACACGUGAGUAACCUGCCCUUGACUUUGGGAUAACUUCAGGAAACUGGGGCUAAUACCGGAUAGGAGCUCCUGCUGCAUGGUGGGGGUUGGAAAGUUUCGGCGGUUGGGGAUGGACUCGCGGCUUAUCAGCUUGUUGGUGGGGUAGUGGCUUACCAAGGCUUUGACGGGUAGCCGGCCUGAGAGGGUGACCGGCCACAUUGGGACUGAGAUACGGCCCAGACUCCUACGGGAGGCAGCAGUGGGGAAUAUUGCACAAUGGGCGGAAGCCUGAUGCAGCAACGCCGCGUGCGGGAUGACGGCCUUCGGGUUGUAAACCGCUUUCGCCUGUGACGAAGCGUGAGUGACGGUAAUGGGUAAAGAAGCACCGGCUAACUACGUGCCAGCAGCCGCGGUGAUACGUAGGGUGCGAGCGUUGUCCGGAUUUAUUGGGCGUAAAGGGCUCGUAGGUGGUUGAUCGCGUCGGAAGUGUAAUCUUGGGGCUUAACCCUGAGCGUGCUUUCGAUACGGGUUGACUUGAGGAAGGUAGGGGAGAAUGGAAUUCCUGGUGGAGCGGUGGAAUGCGCAGAUAUCAGGAGGAACACCAGUGGCGAAGGCGGUUCUCUGGGCCUUUCCUGACGCUGAGGAGCGAAAGCGUGGGGAGCGAACAGGCUUAGAUACCCUGGUAGUCCACGCUGUAAACGGUGGGUACUAGGUGUGGGGUCCAUUCCACGGGUUCCGUGCCGUAGCUAACGCUUUAAGUACCCCGCCUGGGGAGUACGGCCGCAAGGCUAAAACUCAAAGGAAUUGACGGGGCCCCGCACAAGCGGCGGAGCAUGCGGAUUAAUUCGAUGCAACGCGUAGAACCUUACCUGGGUUUGACAUGGAUCGGGAGCGCUCAGAGAUGGGUGUGCCUCUUUUGGGGUCGGUUCACAGGUGGUGCAUGGCUGUCGUCAGCUCGUGUCGUGAGAUGUUGGGUUAAGUCCCGCAACGAGCGCAACCCUUGUUCACUGUUGCCAGCACGUUAUGGUGGGGACUCAGUGGAGACCGCCGGGGUCAACUCGGAGGAAGGUGGGGAUGACGUCAAGUCAUCAUGCCCCUUAUGUCCAGGGCUUCACACAUGCUACAAUGGUCGGUACAAUGCGCUGCGACACUGUGGGGUGGAGCGAAUCGCUGAAAGCCGGUCUUAGUUCGGAUUGGGGUCUGCAACUCGACCCCAUGAAGUCGGAGUCGCUAGUAAUCGCAGAUCAGCAAUGCUGCGGUGAAUACGUUCCCGGGCCU